GCUGCCCCGGGGCAUGCCGGGAGCGAGGCCGUGCGGCUUCCACGCGGUCGGAAGCGGAAGAGACUCCAGACACCGUCCGAAAAGGAAACUGAGGCCUGGAGUCAGGGCCGUGCCCCGCACCCACCCCGCUUGGAAGGGUCGCAGACCCCGGGGGUGGGAGGGGCUCUCGGAUUCUUUUGAAUGCUUCACCGGAGUUCAGUGCUGCCGGGUAGUGGCGCUUCGAUUCGCACAGUGUGGAUUCAAAAUGGCAUUAAGACCGUUGGGAGUUCCUUGAGGAAUGUCAUCCUCUGCCUGUGUCAGAUAGUUACGAACGGGCUGCAAAUUGUAAGGCCACUCAAUUUCAUCUGCAUUUCUUUUGCGUUCGUUCUCCUUGUCACUUUGGACAGAAUAAAUUUCCAAAAGCUUCAUUUUGAUUCCAUAAAUUGGAUGGAAAAAAAAAAUGGAACCAUCUUAGGAUUUUGAUAUUACAUUGGCAUCCUCUGUGGAGUAAUUCCUCAGCCAGUGGGGCCAGUGCAUCUAGAGUGAUGGCUUUACUUCCCACAGGAGAAUGAGAAAACUUGGAAUUGGAACAGUGAGUGAAAUUAAUGUAGAAAAAGUCAUUUGAUCUAAAUGAAGUCAUGAUUUAUGCA